rnacentral:misc_RNA from 1 species
AUUUUGUAGGGGUAUUCCCCACGUCUGAAUUUCCAAAGAAAAAACCAUGAAUACGAUGUUGUUUUCAUUUUCGGUAACAGAAAACUUUCAAAUAAGACAUUCAUAUCUGAUUUCAAGGGGGAUGGAGUAACGAGGAAAAAUUUAAAAACAAGAGAUGGAGAAACGAUAUCAAGCUCAGCAUAUCUACAUUAAUUAUAGGAAAGAAGAGGAUGCGCCCCGGCCCACCCGAUCCAUACUACAGUCUUUGUUUUCUAUCUUGGUGGAGUUUCUAAGCCUCUGUAAACCAGAGGAAAAAUUUUCCUUUCACGAGUUUCAUAAGAUUUUGAAUUUUAGUUCCAGCGAAAGUGAUUUUGAUUUAACUAAAGCUUCGGAAGCAUUUGAAACCUUAGAAUUUUUUUUAAUUACGAUAUGGAAAAAUUCAUGGAAACCAGAAUUCAAAAGAAUACGAGUAAGUACAUAUCUGAAUGAAACGUUGUCUGAAAAUUUUGGUAGACAACACAUAUGAAUUUAGCUGCAUGUAAUUAUGCCAAAAAGGAUGUACAUUUUUACAGUAUAAUUAUUAAUGGUUAGCCUAUCAUGAAAUGUGCAUACAGUAAUUUGAUUCCGGUGCAUAAUUUUGUGGAAUAAUUUAUAUUGAUAACACAGGACUAGUUUUCAUCCGCUUAAAGGCUGAUCUAUUUUUAAUAUUUUAUGACAUAUUUUUUUCCAGAAAUAUUGUGGAUUUUAUCAAACGAAAAUCGAAUCGCAUUUAAAGAAAUCAGAGGAGGUUUUUAAAUUAAUCGGCUAUGUGGAAAACGGGGAUACAUUAGUGUUAAAUAGGAGGCUUAAUCAAGAUGUUGUAUUAUCCGUAGGAUUUGAAUGCAUCUUAGCUUCCGUCGAGUGCAUUCUAGUGUCCAGAAUACGGAAUAGAAUCGAAACGCCUAAACGACCGUAUGAAAUCUUUACCUUGAGACAAAAAUAUUGCGGGAGUGAAGACGAGUUCGUCUCUUUAUUGGCCGGAUCAAGAAAGGACGCGCACGCAAAAACUCAUUCAAAACUAGACGAUACAGAGGUGGAUCACAAUUCUGUGACGUUUUCUCCGUCGGAGGAGCGGCCUGGUCACCACGAUAUUCCUUUCAUUGAUGAUGACGCCGAUGGACACAAGGAAUACGAUCAAAUCAGUCCCAAUUUCGAGGAGGGGACGUUGGAUGACCAUCUGAUGGCGAGUUUAAAGUUAGUGAGCAAAGAAAAGAAGAAAGUGGAAGAGCCGGCACCUUCCCCGAAAAAAGGCUCCGAGGAAUGGUCGUUUGUCACGGAUAGUUUGAGAAAACGGUACGGCGAGGAAUAUAAUUGGGGACAGCGAGGGGAUAUAUUACAAGCCGAGCAAUCGACGAACCAUAUGAUGCAGCAGGAUGUUCGAAAGGAAAAGGGUGAAGCGAUGAAGCGGCUAAUGAAGAAGGAGAGCUCGUCUUAUCGAGACUCUGGUUAUGUUGGUGGCAGUAGUUUUCAAAACGUUAGCCACAGAUCUGACAUGUUAUCUCGGGCUGGUUGUCCUGAGACUAAAAUGCCAUCCUCUUAUAGCAAGCCGAUUCACCAGGCGACAACUUACGCUCAUGCGCAAUUACCACCUUCCUGUUCCGGCGGAAACCUAGUUGUGUCUCCAGAGGAGCGGGAUAUAGGCGGCGGCGAGAAGCUUCAAAUAAAUGACCGUGUAGAUGUGAGGUUCGAUAGGUUAGCUGUAAAUCAGCCUGUAAUAAGCAGCCAUUCUGCCCCUAUAGCGCGGAAACUUUCCAAAGGGGCCGAAGUGGUUCCUGCUGCCAGUAGUAGCAGGUUUGGGAGUCGUAGCUUGACAGAAUGCGGUUGGGUGUGUCCGUAUUGCACGAUACGAAAUCCCAUCGCUAAUCCAAUUUGUUCCGUAUGUAGUAAAACUAAUGAUACGAGGGACACGAAAGUGGCGUCUAAAUCUAUGGACGUCAGGUGGACAUCCAGGCAGUGUGCCCAAUGUACGUACGUUAAUCAUUCGGAUCGCACGGAUUGUGAAAUGUGUGGUAACACAUUAAACGAUACCUACCCCGCAUCAUGAACAGGUUACACUAUAUAGACAGUUUUAAAAAAUUAUGUUUGAUAAAUUGUAUUAUCGCAAAGAAAUUUGGCUAGUGUUUCAAGAAUCGCCUGCAAUGUUAAACACAAAAAACUCCACGCUUAUAAGCAAAUCAACACUCUACAUUUUGUUAAUAUUAGUAUUGUGAUUUCGUUAUACAAAUAAAUUAACGAUAAAACU